UUUGCAUAUCAAAAAGCGGAGGAAAAGAAACCAACAGGGAUUGCCUCAGUAACGGCGAGUGAAGCGGCAACAGCUCAAAUUUGAAAUCUGGCCCUUUCAGGGUCCGAGUUGUAAUUUGUAGAGGAUGCUUCGGCGAGAGCUCCCGUCUAAGUUCCCUGGAACGGGACGUCAUAGAGGGUGAGAAUCCCGUAUGUGAUGGGUUGCUCGAGCCAUGUGAAGCUCCUUCGACGAGUCGAGUUGUUUGGGAAUGCAGCUCUAAAUGGGAGGUAAAUUUCUUCUAAAGCUAAAUACCGGCCAGAGACCGAUAGCGCACAAGUAGAGUGAUCGAAAGAUGAAAAGCACUUUGGAAAGAGAGUUAAAAAGUACGUGAAAUUGUUGAAAGGGAAGCGCUUGCAACCAGACUUGUCCGCAGUUGUUCAGCCGGUCUCCUGACCGGCGUACUCUUCUGCGGCCAGGCCAGCAUCAGUUCGGGCGGUUGGAUAAAGGCCUCGGGAAUGUGGCUCUCUUCGGGGAGUGUUAUAGCCCGGGGCGGAAUGCAGCCAGCCUGGACUGAGGAUCUCGCUUCGGCAAGGAUGCUGGCGUAAUGGUUGUAAGCGGCCCGUCUUGAAACACGGACCCAA
rnacentral:rRNA from 1 species